UGUUCUUCAAGUUUUCUACCGUCCAGGAAUAGUCGAGCUGGAAAACGGGGCUUCGUUCUCUUUGAUUCAAUCUGAGACAGGUGCAGAUGCGGACCAACUCAGGACUGUUAUCGGAGCUCACGUCGCUAUGGGCAACCUUUUCACCACCAUUGAUGAUGACCAUUUCAAGUGCUCGUUCAACGGAUAAAAGUUGGUUGAGAUGUGGCGCACAGUACGUCUACUUCUUCAACGGGAAUGAUUUCGGUUAAAGAUCUCCGAGAAAUGA